GAUGAACGCUGGCGGCGUGCUUAACACAUGCAAGUCAAACGAGGUCCAACCUUCGGGUGAAGACCUAGUGGCGAACGGGUGAGUAACACGUGGGCAAUCUGCCCUCCACUCUGGGAUAACCCUCGGAAACGAGAGCUAAUACCGGAUACUUCGAGAUGGUCGCAUGGCCGACUCGAGAAAGCUCCGGCGGUGGAGGAUGAGCCCGCGGCCCAUUAGCUUGUUGGCGGGGUAACGGCCCACCAAGGCAACGAUGGGUAGCCGAGCUGAGAGGCUGAUCGGCCACACUGGGACUGAGACACGGCCCAGACUCCUACGGGAGGCAGCAGUGGGGAAUCUUGCGCAAUGGGCGAAAGCCUGACGCAGCAACGCCGCGUGCGGGAUGAAGGCUCUCGGGUCGUAAACCGCUUUCAGUAGGGACGAAACUGACUGUACCUACAGAAGAAGCCCCGGCUAAAUACGUGCCAGCAGCCGCGGUAAUACGUAUGGGGCUAGCGUUAUCCGGAUUCAUUGGGCGUAAAGAGCGCGUAGGCGGCUUGUUAAGUCAGAUGUGAAAACCGGGGGCUCAACCCGCGGCCUGCAUCUGAAACUGGCAGGCUUGAGUCUGGUAGAGGAAAGUGGAAUUCCCAGUGUAGCGGUGAAAUGCGCAGAUAUUGGGAGGAACACCAGUGGCGAAGGCGGCUUUCUGGGCCACGACUGACGCUGAGGCGCGAAAGCUAGGGGAGCAAACAGGAUUAGAUACCCUGGUAGUCCUAGCCGUAAACGAUGGGCACUAGGUGUGGGGGGUCAUCAACUCCCUCCGUGCCGCAGCUAACGCACUAAGUGCCCCGCCUGGGGAGUACGACCGCAAGGUUAA
rnacentral:rRNA from 1 species